rnacentral:rRNA from 1 species
CUUUCUUUGAUGGCGACCGGCGCACGGGUGAGUAACACGUAUCCAACCUGCCGAUGACUCGGGGAUAGCCUUUCGAAAGAAAGAUUAAUACCCGAUGGCAUAGUUCUUCCGCAUGGUAGAACUAUUAAAGGAUUUCGGUCAUCGAUGGGGAUGCGUUCCAUUAGGUUGUUGGCGGGGUAACGGCCCACCAAGCCUUCGAUGGAUAGGGGUUCUGAGAGGAAGGUCCCCCACAUUGGAACUGAGACACGGUCCAAACUCCUACGGGAGGCAGCAUG